rnacentral:rRNA from 1 species
UACGGAGGGAGCUAGCGUUGUUCGGAGUUACUGGGCGUAAAGGGCGCGUAGGCGGCUUUCUAAGUCGGGGGUGAAAUCCUGGAGCUCAACUCCAGAACUGCCUUCGAUACUGGAAGCUCGAAGUCCGGGAGAGGUGAGUGGAACUGGCGAGUGUAGAGGUGAAAUUCGUAGAUAUUCGCAAGAACACCAGUGGCGAAGGCGGCUCACUGGCCCGGUACUGACGCUGAGGUGCGAAAGCGUGGGGAGCAAACAGGG